UACGUAGGGUGCAAGCGUUAAUCGGAAUUACUGGGCGUAAAGCGUGCGCAGGCGGUUAUGUAAGACAGUUGUGAAAUCCCCGGGCUCAACCUGGGGAUUGCAUCUGUGACUGCAUAGCUAGAGUACGGUAGAGGGGGAUGGAAUUCCGCGUGUAGCAGUGAAAUGCGUAGAUAUGCAGAGGAACACCGAUGGCGAAGGCAAUCCCCUGGACCUGUACUGACGCUCAUGCACGAAAGCGUGGGGAGCAAACAGG
rnacentral:rRNA from 1 species